AACUAAGUUUGUUAUUGGUAUGAGCUUUCGUGUGCAUGCACACUUCUUCAGAUAUCUGAAGAAGAUAUCAGGUAUCUGAAGAAGUGUGCAUGCACACGAAAGCUCAUACCAAUAACAAACUUAGUUGG